AGUGAACGCUGGCGGUAGGCCUAACACAUGCAAGUCGAACGGCAGCACAGUAAGAGCUUGCUCUUACGGGUGGCGAGUGGCGGACGGGUGAGGAAUACAUCGGAAUCUACUUUUUCGUGAGGGAUAACGUAGGGAAACUUACGCUAAUACCGCAUACGACCUACGGGUGAAAGCAGAGGAUCUUCGGACCUUGCGCGAUUGAAUGAGCCGAUGUCGGAUUAGCUAGUUGGCGGGGUAAAGGCCCACCAAGGCGACGAUCCGUAGCUGGUCUGAGAGGAUGAUCAGCCACACUGGAACUGAGACACGGUCCAGACUCCUACGGGAGGCAGCAGUGGGGAAUAUUGGACAAUGGGCGCAAGCCUGAUCCAGCCAUACCGCGUGGGUGAAGAAGGCCUUCGGGUUGUAAAGCCCUUUUGUUGGGAAAGAAAAGCAGCAGGUUAAUACCCCGCUGUUCUGACGGUACCCAAAGAAUAAGCACCGGCUAACUUCGUG
rnacentral:rRNA from 1 species